UGAUUUGGGGCGAAAGAUUAUCGAACCAUUUAGUAGCUGGUUCCCUUGGAAGUUUCUCUCAGAUAGCAAGUACAAUUUAGCAGUUUUAAAGGUAAAGCGAAUGAUUAGAGGUCACGGGGGUCAAUCCUCUAGUCCUAUUCUCAAACUUUAAAUUGGUAAGAACCGAGGGUUUUCUUUAUUGAACCCGAGGGUAGAAUGCGUGUGCUUAGUGGGCCAUUUUUGGUAAGCAGAACUGGCGAUGAGGGAUGCACCUAACGUUGAGUUAAGGCGCCUAAGUCCGCAAUCAUUCGACACCAUAAAAGGCGUUGGUUCAUUAAGACAGCAGGACAGUGUCCCUGAAAGUAGGAAUCUGCUAAGGAGUGUCUUACAACUCACCUGCCGAAUGAACCAGCCCUGAAAAUGGAUGGCGCUACAUUGCGGUGCCGAUACUCAACCAUCAGAGCAAAUAUGAGGCUUUGAUGAGUAAGAGGGCGUGGGAGUAGUGUAGAAGCUGUGACGUGAGUCGAGGUGGAACUGCUCUCAGUGCAGAUCUUGGUGGUAGUAGCAAUUAUUCAAAUGUGAACUUUGAAGGCCGAAGUGGAGAAGGGUUCCAUGAGAACAGUAAUUGGUCAUGGGUUACUCGGUCCUAAGAUGUAGGGAAAUUCUUCUAUGUAAGUGCUAUUUGCACGAUGUCAAAAGGGAAAGAGGUUAACAUUCCUCUAGCCUGUCGAGGAUAUUUUGCGGUAACGCAAACGAGCUCCGUAACACCAGCACGAACCCUGGGAGGAAUUCUCUUUUCUUUUUAACUGCUUAUCGCCUUGGAAUUGGAUUAUCCAGAGAGAUGGCU
rnacentral:rRNA from 1 species